rnacentral:rRNA from 1 species
CCUACGGGUGGCUGCAGUGGGGAAUAUUGGGCAAUGGACGCAAGUCUGACCCAGCAACGCCGCGUGAGGGAAGAAGGCUUUCGGGUUGUAAACUUCUUUUAACGGGGAAGAGCAGAAGACGGUACCCCUUGAAUAAGCCACGGCUAACUACGCGCCAGCAGCCGCGGUAAUACGUAGGGGGCAAGUGUUGUCCGGAUUCACUGGGUGUAAAGGGCGUGCAGCCGGGGAGACAAGUCUGAUGUGAAAUCCACGGGCUCAACCCGUGAACUGCAUUUGAAAUUGUUUCCCUUGAGUGGCGGAGAGGUAAUCGGAAUUCCUAGUGUAGCGGUGAAAUGCGUAGAUAUAAGGAGGAACACCAGUGGCGAAGGCGGAUUACUGGACGAUAACUGACGGUGAGGCGCGAAAGCGUGGGGAGCAAACAGGAUUAGAUACCCGAGUAGUC